GUAGUCCACGCCGUAAACGUUGGGCACUAGGUGUGGGCUCUAACCAACGGAGUCCGUGCCGUCGCUAACGCAUUAAGUGCCCCGCCUGGGGAGUACGGCCGCAAGGUUAAAACUCAAAGGAAUUGACGGGGCCCCGCACAAGCAGCGGAGCGUGUUGCUUAAUUCGAUGCGACGCGAAGAACCUUACCUGGGCUUGACAUGCAGGGAAAAGCCGCAGAGAUGCGGUGUCCUUCGGGGCCUUGCACAGGUGGUGCAUGGCUGUCGUCAGCUCGUGUCGUGAGAUGUUGGGUUAAGUCCCGCAACGAGCGCAACCCUUUUCCUAUGUUGCCAGCGGGUUAUGCCGGGGACUCGUAGGAGACUGCCGGGGUCAACUCGGA
rnacentral:rRNA from 1 species